GAUGAACGCUGGCGGCGUGCCUAAUACAUGCAAGUCGAGCGAACAGACGAGGAGCUUGCUCCUCUGACGUUAGCGGCGGACGGGUGAGUCACACGUGGAUAACCUACCUUUAAGACUGGGAUAACUUCGGGAAACCGGAGCUAAUAUCGGAUAUUAUAUUGAACCGCAUGGUUCAAUAGUGAUAGCCGGUUUUGCUGUCACUAAUUCAUGUAUGCUCGCCGCCUUAGCUAGUUGGUAAGGUAACGGCUUACCAAUGCAACGAUGCGUAGGCGACAUGAGAGGGUGAUCAGUCACACUGGAAAUGAGACACGGUCCAGACUCCUACGGGAGGCAGCAGUAGGGAAUAUUCCGCAAUGGGCGAAAGCCUGACAGAGCAACGCCGGGUGAGUGAUGAAGGUCUUCGGAUCGUAAAGCGCUGUUAGUAGGGAGGAAGGAAAGUGUAAUUAACUAUGCACGUAUUGACGGUACCUACACAAAAAGCCACGGCUAACUUCGUG
rnacentral:rRNA from 1 species